rnacentral:rRNA from 1 species
UGGGGAAUAUUGCACAAUGGGCGCAAGCCUGAUGCAGCCAUGCCGCGUGUAUGAAGAAGGCCUCCGGGUUGUAAAGUACUUUCAGCGGGGAGGAAGGGAGUAAAGUUAAUACCUUUGCUCAUUGACGUUACCCGCAGAAGAAGCACCGGCUAACUCCGUGCCAGCAGCCGCGGUAAUACGGAGGGUGCAAGCGUUAAUCGGAAUUACUGGGCGUAAAGCGCACGCAGGCGGUUUGUUAAGUCAGAUGUGAAAUCCCCGGGCUCAACCUGGGAACUGCAUCUGAUACUGGCAAGCUUGAGUCUCGUAGAGGGGGAUAGCAUUCCAGGUGUAGCGGUGAAAUGCGUAGAGAUCUGGAGGAAUACCGGUGGCGAACGCGGCCCCCUGGACAAAGACUGACGCUCAGGUGCGAAAGCGUGGGGAGCAAACAGG